GAACGGUUAGCUUAGUUGGUUAGAGCACUGGUACAAAACGCCAGAGACCGUGGGUUCGAGUCCCGUAUCGUUCA